rnacentral:rRNA from 1 species
UAGUCCACGCCGUAAACGAUGCGUGCUCGGUGUAGGGGACCUCGACUUGUCCUCUGUGCCUAAGGUAACCCGGUAAGCACGCCGCCUGUGUAGUACGAGCGCAAGCUUAAAACACAAAGGAAUAGACGGGGACCCACACAAGCGGUGGAACGCGGGGUUUAAUUCGUCAAUAAGCGGAAAACCUUACCAGGGCUUGACAUCCUUAUCGUCGACUUUAGAGAUAAAGUUUUCAGUUCGGCUGGAUAAGUGACAGGAGGUGCAUGGUUGUCGUCAGCUCGUGCCUUGAGGUGUUCGGUUAAGUCCGUUAACGAGCGCAACCCUCGUCGUAUGUUGUACUUUCAUGCGAGACUGCCGGUUAUAAACCGGAGGAAGGUGAGGAUGACGUCAAAUCAGCAUGCCCCUUAUGCCCUGGGCUACACCCACGUUACAAUGGGGUAGAUACAAACCGAAGCAAUAUCGUAAGAUGGAGCCAAUCGGAUAAAACUACCCUCAGUUCGGAUUGUGGUCUGCAACUCGACCACAUGAAGUUGGAAUC